CUGAAAGACUAUAUAGAAUGCCACUCUACAUCUUCGUUCAGGCUUAUUAGGGCAGCUCUCAAGAAUGGUGGUUGUGGAUUCAGUCAGAAGAUCUGGUUUGUGGAGAAUUUAUUGCUGCAAUCCGGGGUCUAUGAAAGAAGAGUGGAGAGUGUAUCAGACUGAAGUUCAUCUGUGAUAGCAGCGGGAAAACAGCCACAAUAUGCUGAGGGACAAAGGAACAUUGAACUUGAAAAGACUGCCAGGACUAAAACAGAAAAGAACAUCAAACCAUGUAAAAAGAACAAUUUCUUACUCUGGAUAACUUCAUUUUCUUGAGGUUUGGAUAUUUCACUUUCUUCAACAAGUUCUGGAGGAGGUAAUAAACCCUACAAAAAAAAGAAGAUGUGUUUUGUUUAAGAACAAUUUCAACAUAAUACAGAUCUAUACCAAAAUAAGGAUUCGGUUCAGAUUCUCCUAUGCCAUGGAAAUCCUCUACAUUUAUAAGCUGGAAGUCAUACAAAAACCCAGCAUUUGCUGUUCUGAAUUCAGAAUAUAGACCCAAUAGGAAAAAAGGAAGCCACAUCUUUCUAUCUCAACAAAUCAGGGAAGACAGCUAUCCAAAGGAAAUAGGAUGAACACUUUCCACAAAAAGAUUCACUUAAUUUUAAAACUCAUUUUCAUAAAAUACCUUCUUGUAUUCAGAAAUCUAAAUCUAUUUCAGCAAGUUUUACCUUCUCCGGAAUAGUAUUCAGUUGGAACAAUAUUUUCAUCCCAAAUAAUCUUCUCAGUGGGAUACAGAGGCAUCUGAUUAAGCUGCUGAAUUUGAGAAAUUCUACGUUCAUGUCGAGAGACCUAGGGAAAAAAAAACAUCUUUAUGAGUACUUGCCAAUUGCUUGCAAAUAAAAUGUUCAGGUGCUGGAAUUACCUUGAAAGCAUCAAA